rnacentral:rRNA from 1 species
AGUUGAAAACUCCCAAACCCUUUGUCGUCCUUACCUUUUUGUUGCUUCGGCGCCGCCCUCACCGGCGCGCCGGAGGUUUUAAACUUGAAUUUUUAGUGUAUCUCUGAGCCUAACGGCAAUCUAUAACAACUUUCAACAACGGAUCUCUUGGUUCUGGCAUCGAUGAAGAACGCAGCGAAAUGCGAUAAGUAGUGUGAAUUGCAGAAUUCCGUGAAUCAUCGAAUCUUUGAACGCACAUUGCGCCCGCCGGUAUUCCGGCGGGCAUGCCUGUUCGAGCGUCAUUUCGACCCCUCAAGCCUCCGGCUUGGUGUUGGGGCUCCCGCGCCAGCGGGGCCCUCAAGUGCAUCGGCGGGCUCGCCGGACACUGAGCGCAGUAAACAUUCUCCGUUCGGCCUGUCCCGGUGGGUUCUUGCCGCUAAACACCCCAAUUUUUAAGGUUGACCUCGGAUCAGGUAGGAAUACCCGCUGAACUUAAGCAUAUCAAUAAGCGGAGGAAAAGAAACCAACAGGGAUUGCCCUAGUAACGGCGAGUGAAGCGGCAACAGCUCAAAUUUGAAAUCUGGCCCUCGGGUCCGAGUUGUAAUUUGCAGAGGAUGCUUCCGGCGACGCGCCCACCGAGUCCACUGGAAUGUGGCGCCAUAGAGGGUGAGAGCCCCGUAUGGUGGGAUGCCGAACCGGUGUGAAGCUCCUUCGACGAGUCGAGUAGUUUGGGAAUGCUGCUCUAAAUGGGAGGUAUAUUUCUUCUAAAGCUAAAUACUGGCCAGAGACCGAUAGCGCACAAGUAGAGUGAUCGAAAGAUGAAAAGCACUUUGAAAAGAGGGUUAAAAAGUACGUGAAAUUGUUGAAAGGGAAGCGCCCGUGACCAGACUCGGGCCAGGCGGAUCAUCCGGCGUUCUCGCCGGUGCACUCCGCCCGGCUCGGGCCAGCAUCGGUUUUCGCCGGGGGAUAAAGGUGCCGGGAACGUGGCUCCCUCCGGGGAGUGUUAUAGCCCGGUGCGCAAUGCCCCGGCGGGGACCGAGGACCGCGCUCG